rnacentral:misc_RNA from 1 species
AGUACUUUUAAGAGAUAAAAAUAUAAAAUUUCCAAUUUUUUCCAAAAUACACAUAAUGACCUUUUCCUGUGUACAUUUUUUGAUAAGUAGAAAGUCAGCCUUCUUUAAUACUAAUAUUGAAAUAAAUUACUUUAAUAGCGAUAUAAAUAUAUCAUAAAAUAUACUUAGUAAUAUUAUAUAAGUUGACAGGCUAUGUUCGUUCAGAAUCGUAUUUCGUACACGCAAUGAUUGAUGAUUGAAUUCAAAUUUAACACAUACAUUACAGAGACUUACUCCUCAACGACGAUGUUCACUUGACUAUACAGCAAAGCGGAUACUUACUUUCUCAUUUUUUAUAUGACUUCGUGGCUUAGAUUUUCAAAAAAAAAAAAAAAAAACGGAAAAAGUGGGUAGACACUGUAAUAUUUUAUAUAAAUAUUAUUGAUAAUCGGACCUCACCACUAAAUUAUUUGAUGACUGAUGAUUAUACGUCGUCUAUUAUAAUUCAAAACAGUAUAUAGCGUACUUUUAUUAUCAUUAUUCUUUUUUACGUUUAUCUAUUUCGUAUCACGCGAGCCGUUUGGAACGCGUGGGUGCAUUGAUCGUCGUCGGAUACUGUUAUCGCGUGAAUCGUCGAGAACAUGAGAUAGUGUAAACGGAGACUAACAUGCUCGUGUUGGAUAUGACCGGAUAUCGCGUAUCAGGUAUGACAGUCAUGUUAUGAAAGAGAGAGAGAGAGAGUAUGGUUGGUUUGUUUUAGCUUCCGUGGUGAUGUCAAAAAAUAAUAAUUUAAAAAAAAAACAUAUCCGCUUAUUAUACUAUACCAACUACUAAUAUACUAUGGUCUGCAGAUUUCGGAAAACCUUGUCGGUGGAUUGGAAAUAAAUGGUCUUAGUUCUAUGUACACGGCAAUUACCGAUGAAAGAAAUAACAACGAAACAGAUGUGGCUCUCGCACGAAAGUUUACUAGCCGCUAUGUACAUUGGGUCGUCGACGCCGUUUCGUCCAGAUCACUUCUCUACGUCAGUUACAAGUUUAAUCAACUGUGUCCGAGGGUUGAAUAGUGAAUACGGUUACGAAAUUAUAUGCCAACUAGUGUUAUUUCGCUGUGCACCGAUGGUUUGUGAACAACGACCGAGGUUCACUUGGUUAAUGUGGAGACCGCUUGUGAAUUCUUAUAAAAACACAUAUCGAAUAAACGCUUAUUGAAUUUUUA